AACGAACGCUGGUGGCAUGCCUAACACAUGCAAGUCGAACGAGACCUUCGGGUCUAGUGGCGCACGGGUGCGUAACGCGUGGGAAUCUGCCCUUGGGUACGGAACAACUGUUAGAAAUGACUGCUAAUACCGCAUAAUGACUCCGGUCCAAAGAUUUAUCGCCCAAGGAUGAGCCCGCGUCGGAUUAGCUAGUUGGUGAGGUAAAAGCUCACCAAGGCGACGAUCCGUAGCUGGUCUGAGAGGAUGAUCAGCCACACUGGGACUGAGACACGGCCCAGACUCCUACGGGAGGCAGCAGUGGGGAAUAUUGGACAACGGGCGAAAGCCUGAUCCAGCAAUGCCGCGUGAGUGAUGAAGGCCUUAGGGUUGUAAAGCUCUUUUACCCGGGAUGAUAAUGACAGUACCGGGAGAAUAAGCCCCGGCUAACUCCGUGCCAGCCGCCGCAGUAA
rnacentral:rRNA from 1 species